CUGGCCCUGAAUCAAGGAAGGCAGCUUCCUGACGCUAUUGGUUUUAAGCAGGAGCCUAACGAGAUUUCUUUCUAUGGUCUGUUGGCCAUUUCAGAACUUGGCCAGGGAAAUGGUCAUUUUGUUAGAAAGAAACAGCU
ensembl:snoRNA